GAUGAAGAACGUAGUGAAAUGCGAUAAGUAGUGUGAAUUGCGGAAUUCAGUGAAUCAUCGAAUCUUUGAACGCACAUUGCGCCCCUUGGUAUUCCAUGGGGCAUGCCUGUUCGAGCGUCAUUUGUACCUUCAAGCUCUGCUUGGUGUUGGGUGUUUGUCCUUGCUCUAGUGGCGGGACUCGCCUUAAAGUAAUUGGCAGCCAGUGUUUUGGUUUUGAAGCGCAGCACAAGUCGCGAUUCAAGUCUAUACGCUAGUUUCCACAAGUCUUUUAUCACUUUUGACCUCGGAUCAGGUAGGGAUACCCGCUGAACUUAAGCAUAUCAAUAAGCGGAGGA
rnacentral:misc_RNA from 1 species